GACGAACGCUGGCGGCGUGCUGAACACAUGCAAGUCGAACGGAAAUGCCCUGCUUGUGUGGGGUGCUCGAGUGGCGAACGGGUGAGUAACACGUGAGUAACCUGCCCUUGACUUUGGGAUAACUUCAGGAAACUGGGGCUAAUACCGGAUAGGAGCUCCUGCUGCAUGGUGGGGGUUGGAAAGUUUCGGCGGUUGGGGAUGGACUCGCGGCUUAUCAGCUUGUGGGUGGGGUAGUGGCUUACCAAGGCUUUGACGGGUAGCCGGCCUGAGAGGGUGACCGGCCACGUUGGGACUGACAUACGGCCCAGACUCCUACGCGAGGCAGCAGUGUGGAAUCUUGCCCGAUGGGCGGAAGCCUGAUGCAGCCACGCCGCGUGCGGGAUGACGGCCUUCGGGUUCUAACCCGCUUUCGCCUGUGAAGCAGCGUGAGUGACGGUAAUGGGUAACGAAGCACCGGCUAACUACGUG
rnacentral:rRNA from 1 species